GACGAACGCUGGCGGCGUGCCUAAUACAUGCAAGUCGAACGCAGUGGGGACGGGUGAGUAACACGUGGGUAACCUCCCAUCAGAGGGGAUAACACUUGGAAACAGGUGCUAAACCGAUACUGAUGGAUGGACCCGCGGUGCAUUAGCUAGUUGGGGAGGUAACGGCUCACCAAGGCCACGAUGCAUAGCCGAGCCGAGAGGGUGAUCGGCGAAACCGGGAAUGAGACAAGGCCCAGACUCCCACGGAAGGCAGCAGGAGGGAAUCUUCGGCAAUGGAGGAAAGGCUGAACGAGCAACGCCGCGUGAGUGAAGAAGGUUUUCGGAUCGUAAAACUCUGGUGUUAAGGAAGCGGUACUUAACCAGAAAGGGACGGCUAACUACGUGCCAGCAGCCGCGGUAAUUC
rnacentral:rRNA from 1 species